UAAUGGGCGUCCUGAAAAUAGCCAUGCAUGUCAGUGAGCCUUACGGUGGAACGGCGAACGGCUCAGUAAUGUUGCGGUAAUUUGGUCUCUGUGUGUAAACUAACCACGGUAACCUGUGGCUAAAAGCGGAGAAUAAGGCGCAACCCUAUCAGCUUGUUGGUAGUGUAAAGGACUACCAAGGCCAUGACGGGUAACGGGAAAUCAGGGUUUGGUUCCGGAGAC
rnacentral:rRNA from 1 species